CUUCCAGCAAAGCAUGGCUGUCCUGGUGCUGCUCCUCUGCCUGGUGACAUUUCCAAGUAGUGUCUUUUCCCAGCUACAGAUGAAGGAGACAGGACCUGGCCUGGUGCAACCCUCACAGACCCUGUCUCUCACCUGCACUGUCUCUGGGUUUUCAUUAACUGACUAUGAUAUAAGCUGGGUUCGCCAGCCUCCAGGAGAGGGUCUGGAGUGGAUGGGAGCAAUAUGGAGGGGUGGAAGUACAAAGUACAGUUCACCUCUCCAGUCUCGAAUCACCAUCAGUAAGGACAACUCCAAGAGUGAAGUCUUCUUAAAAUUGAAGAGUGUGCACACUGAAGACACAGCCAUAUAUUACUGUGCCAGAAACACAGUGAGGAAACUCUAA